rnacentral:pre_miRNA from 1 species
CAUGCUAUGCUUGUCAAGUGAGCAGUCCUUUGCAAAUUAAUCUUAGUUUCGUUGUCUGUUCGACCUGAAACUACGGUAAAGGCUAGGUAUAUAGUACCCCUGAAAACCCUAAUUAGAAAGUAAUCAUGUUUUUUUAUAUAGAUUAAUCAACUUGAUUGACCAUCUAACAAAUUAAACAAGGCAGCUUCGUAUUAUAGAUAACUAUAUAUUGYGUAGCAUCUUGGUAUUUGACCUCGUAACCUAAAUUAUAGAGUUACUUUAAUGCAUAAAAGAGUCAUUAACCUAGAAAGAAGAAAGUAAAUUAAAACUCCCAAUCUUAAUCCUGUUUAUGCAUUUAUUGGAUAAUUCAUUUGGAAAGUGGUUUAGGUAUAUCUUUUGGCUCCUUCUUUUCCUUUCGAAAUAUGAAGAAGAAAGCAAUUGAAAAAAUAGUAAUAGGCUGGMUAUAAGUUUCUAAGUACCCCUUUGCGGUAAUCUAACAUAACUUUGAUAGUCGUUGGACUUUUACCCUAGGUUUUGCAGUUGCAGCCCGGUAUCGAUUUUUCAGGUGUAUAUAUGUAGGUUACACACCCAAAUCCAGUCCAAAAAGUAGGCAGCCUUAUGCUCWUUUUGUUUUUACCAAGACAUAUAAUCAUCUUUAAUAUCAAAUACCUGAACUCACUGUACUAAUUAAAUUGGAUGUGAAACCAAUCUAGUUACCAAUUUAGAUUAAGUUGCUUCCACAAAAGCAUUUUCUUGCUUUCGAACUGCAGAAUAAUUAGCAUGAGCCGUAUAAGUACAUCCUUAAUUAGAAAAAUAAUGUGGCUAGGAGGGACCGAGUAGUGACUAGCUAGCUAGCCUGCUACCAUGGAAUGUUGAUAGGUCGAACAGACAGCGAACCUGAAGUACAAGCAAGAGACUGUUCAUUUGACAAGGGUUUGCAUG